CUCAAUCCCUCUGUUACUGUCACUAUACCCCGCUCCCUCUAACAUGUAAACUCACUGAGCAGGGCCUCAAUCCCUCUGUUACUGUGUCACUAUAUUCCACUCCCUCUAACAUGUAAGCUCUUUGAGCAGGGCCCUCAACCCCUCUGUUCCUGUGUGUCCAACUUGUCUGGUUACAAAUACGUGUCUAUUAGUCCACCCAUUGUACAGCGCUUUGGAAUUUGUUGGCGCAUUAUAAAUACUAUUAAUCUCUAAUCAAGUCAGACUUUCAUAAGAGCAUUACCAUUGAGUUAGAAUCUAAC